rnacentral:tRNA from 1 species
AAGUAAGAAGCAAAAAAUUUAAGCAUUUAGUUUCGACCUAAAAUUAUGAUAUAUAAUUAUCCUUACUUA